rnacentral:rRNA from 1 species
CCCUACGGGGUGCAGCAGGCGCCGCACUGAGUGCAGGCGAAGCGGAGGCCGUUGCGAUACCAUGGGGCGAGGGAGGCGUAGGGCUGGUUGGAACCGCUCACGCCUUAGAUCCACAGCAUUUUUUGUAUUUCUUGCCCGAGCCGCAGGGGCAGGGGUCAUUUCGGCCGACGCUGUGCUCGGCCUUGGCCUGCUCUACGGGUUGGUCGGGGAGCGGGGGGUCGUCGGGGGGGACGCGGGCCCGCUCGAGAGACUUUCGUUCCUGUUUGCGCUCGAAACGCUUGGCGAAACGGUCGAAAACCGACAUGAAUUCUGCCUCAAUGGGUCGUUAUGUAGCCAUUAUAUGGUAAGCCGGCGCCCGGCCCAACAGGUGGGUUGCCGGGCGGACGAAUAAAGGUUUGGGCGGGAGGGC